rnacentral:rRNA from 1 species
GCGUUGUUCGGAAUUACUGGGCUUAAAGCGCGUGUAGGCGGAAUGUCAGGUGUCUGGUGAAAGCCCCGGGCUCAACCCGGGAACGGCCGGGCAAACCGGCAUUCUUGAGGCAGGUAGAGGUGACUGGAACGACUAGUGGAGCGGUGAAAUGCGUAGAUAUCAGUUGGAACGCCAGCGGCGAAAGCGAGUCACUGGGCCUGUCCUGACGCUGAGACGCGAAAGCGUGGGUAGCGAACAGGAUUAGAUACCCUGGUAGUCCACGCCGUAAACGAUGCGCACUAGGUAUAAGAGGUUUUGACGCCGAUUGUGCCGAAGCAAAAGUGCUAAGUGCGCCGCCUGGGGAGUACGGCCGCAAGGCUAAAACUCAAAGGAAUUGACGGGGGCUCACACAAGCGGUGGAGCAUGUGGAUUAAUUCGAAGCAACGCGAAGAACCUUACCUGGGUUUGACAUGCGCGGAUGCCCUCUUGGAAACAGGAGUAAGCUGCCUUCGGGUGAAACGUGCACAGGUGCUGCAUGGCUGUCGUCAGCUCGUGCUGUGAAGUGUCGGGUUAAGUCCCUCAACGAGCGAAACCCCUAUCGUUAGUUGCCAGCGGGUUAUGCCGGGAACUCUAGCGAGACCGCCGGUGUCAAACCGGAGGAAGGUGGGGACGACGUCAAGUCAUCAUGGCCCUUAUGCCCAGGGUGUCACACGUGCUACAAUGGGCGGUACAGAGCGACGCGAGACCGAGAGGUGGAGCAAAUCGCACAAAGCCGUCCUCAGUUCGGAUUGGAGUCUGCAACUCGACUCCAUGAAGUUGGAAUCGCUAGUAAUCGCGGAUCAGCCAUGCCGCGGUGAAUGUGUUCCUGAGCCUUGCACACACCGCCCGUC